rnacentral:tRNA from 1 species
UCUGCGGGGUGCUCGGCCGUGGCCGCAAGCACGACCUCGCGGGUCGUGGCGCUGUAGUCCAGUUGCAUGCCCGAGCCGCGGGA